UUAUUUUUCAUACUCUGCUUUGGAGGCUUGAUGGAGGGAUUCUGACUAAAUGUUGCGGCAAGUAUCUUGCAGAAGUACUCAGGACAAACCAGAGAUUGAGAGAGUUACACUUUCACAUGCAUAGCCCAGAUGACAAAGCAAUGAAACUAUUGUGUGAUGGGCUCAAACAUCCACAAUGCACAAUAGAGACAUUAGAUUUGAUUAACACAAAUGUUGCAGAAGUACUCAGGAAAAACCAGAGAUUGAGAAAGUUCCAUAUUUACUUCAUACCAGAUGACAAAACAAUGGAACUAUUGUGUGAUGAGCUCAAACAUCCACAAUGCACAAUAGAGACAUUAAUUUUUUUUAUAGGUACCCUGAAUGAAUCUUGCAGCAGGCAUGUUGCAGAAGUACUCAGGAAAAACCAGCGAUUGAGAGAGUUAUACUUGAACAGCCAGAACUCAGAUGACAAAGCAAUGGAACUAUUGUGCGAUGGGCUCAAUCAUCCACAAUGCACAAUAGAG